rnacentral:rRNA from 1 species
AUUGAACGCUGGCGGCAGGCCUAACACAUGCAAGUCGAGCGAGCGGCGGACGGGUGAGUAAUGUCUGGGAAACUGCCUGAUGGAGGGGGAUAACUACUGGAAACGGUAGCUAAUACCGCAUACCAUCAGAUGUGCCCAGCUGGUCUUAGCUAGUGGGUGGGGUAACGGCUCACCUAGGCGACUAUCCCUAGCUGGUCUGGGAGGAUGACCAGCAACACUGGAACUGAAACACGGUCCAGAAGCCUACGGGAGGCAGCAGUGGGGAAUAUUGCACAAUGGGCGCAAGCCUGAUGCAGCCAUGCCGCGUGUGUGAAGAAGGCCUUCGGGUUGUAAAGCACUUUCAGCGAGGAGGCGUUACCCGCAGAAGAAGCACCGGCUAACUCCGUGCCAGCCGCCGCGGUAAUAG